AACGAACGCUGGCGGCAUGCCAAACACAUGCAAGCCGAGCGAGACCGUCGGGACUUGUGGCGCACGACAGAGUAACGCGUGGGAACCUGCCAUUAGGUUCGGAAUAACUGCCCGAAAGGGGUGCUAAUACCGGAUAAUUUCUUCGGACCAAAGAUUUAUCGCCUUUGGAUGUGCCCGCGUUGGAUUAGCUAGUUGGUAGGGUAAAAGCCUACCAAGGCUACGAUCCAUAGCUGGUCUGAGAGGAUGAUCAGCCACACUGGAACUGAGACACGGCCCAGACUCUUCCGGGAGGCAGAAGUGGGGAAUAUUGGACAAUGGGCCAAAGCCUGAUCAGUCAAUGCCGCGUAAGUUAUGAACGCCUUCGGGUCGCAAACCUCUUUUUCCCGGGCUGAUACUGCCAUUCCCGGGAGACUCCGCCACGGCUCCCUCCGUG
rnacentral:rRNA from 1 species